AACGAACGCUGGCGGCAUGCCUAACACAUGCAAGUCGAACGAGACCUUCGGGUCUAGUGGCGCACGGGUGCGUAACGCGUGGGAAUCUGCCCUUGGGUUCGGAAUAACAGUGAGAAAUUACUGCUAAUACCGGAUGAUGUCUUCGGACCAAAGAUUUAUCGCCCAGGGAUGAGCCCGCGUAGGAUUAGCUAGUUGGUGGGGUAAUGGCCUACCAAGGCGACGAUCCUUAGCUGGUCUGAGAGGAUGAUCAGCCACACUGGGACUGAGACACGGCCCAGACUCCUACGGGAGGCAGCAGUGGGGAAUAUUGGACAAUGGGCGAAAGCCUGAUCCAGCAAUGCCGCGUGAGUGAUGAAGGCCUUAGGGUUGUAAAGCUCUUUUACCCGGGAUGAUAAUGACAGUACCGGGAGAAUAAGCUCCGGCUAACUCCGUGC
rnacentral:rRNA from 1 species